AGUAAAUGCUCCAGAGAGAGGUUAAGGGCCUAUCUUCAGGUGUUGGCCCGGACAGACAGUAAAUCCUCCUGGCAGCCUUGAGCUCUCUCAGGCAGGCGUUUUAAUGGAGAACUGGGGUCAUCCUAGGGACACAGCCUUAUGCUGCUGGAAGCCAUGCUAGAUUUGGUCGUCUCUCAGUGCAGAGGUUUGAACGGAGUCGUGCUGUGCCGAGCGUUCUACAGUUCUCAGGGGUCACUGGACAGAUCAGAGAAAACAAGAAGAGCGAGGUCAGCAGUCUGAAGCUACGUCACAGUCAUUCAAUCUGUGCUCCCUGUGUACCUUCAUACCGUCCACAAGGCUCCUCACCAUCUCCGUCUGGGCUGCUAUCUCUUCCAUCAACAGGUAUGUCAUCCUGGUGCAACCAUGAUGAGAUCAGGAAAAGGAGGAAUAUAGCCAGAAGCAGAGAAAUGCUGCCGCUGAGCGGGUCUACUCUCAUUGCUGCCAAGACAGAAAAUUCUGCCCAGAUUUGGGCUACUGUAUGUCCACUUGGGGAACCAGGGAGACUCACCCCAUAUUGAGCGGAGAGCGAUGGACAAUGGAAACUAGCAAAUAUAAUACAACAGAAGCUUGAAAAGUGUUAUUUUCCACCAUCACGUGAAUGAAUUACUGGAUAAUGGAAGACCUGUGGGCAUUACCACAGCUGACGUCAAGCCAACCGUCAGACACAUAAGAGGCACACCACCCCCACAUCAACAGCUUUCCAAAUGCCAGAAACGUGUGUGAGGCCAUGCAAGACCACCCAGCCCUCAGCUGACCCGUCACCUGACUGCAACUGGAUAAAAAAG
rnacentral:lncRNA from 1 species